GAUGAACGCUGGCGGCGUGCCUAAUACAUGCAAGUCGAGCGAACAGACGAGGAGCUUGCUCCUCUGACGUUAGCGGCGGACGGGUGAGUAACACGUGGAUAACCUACCUAUAAGACUGGGAUAACUUCGGGAAACCGGAGCUAAUACCGGAUAAUAUAUUGAACCGCAUGGUUCAAUAGUGAAAGACGGUUUUGCUGUCACUUAUAGAUGGAUCCGCGCCGCAUUAGCUAGUUGGUAAGGUAACGGCUUACCAAGGCAACGAUGCGUAGCCGACCUGAGAGGGUGGUCGGCCACACUGGAACUGGGACGCGGUCCAGACUCCUACGGGAGGCAGCAGUAGGGAAUCUUCCGCAAUGGGCGAAAGCUUGACGGAGCAACGCCGCGUGAGUGAUGAAGGUCUUCGGAUCGUAAAACUCUGUUAUUAGGGAAGAACAAAUGUGUAAGUAACUAUGCACGUCUUGACGGUACCUAAUCAGAAAGCCACGGCUAACUACGUG
rnacentral:rRNA from 1 species